rnacentral:rRNA from 1 species
AUUGAACGCUGGCGGCAGGCUUAACACAUGCAAGUCGAGCGAGCGGCGGACGGGUGAGUAAUGUCUGGGCAACUGCCUGGUGGAGGGGGAUCACUACUGGAAACGGUAGCUAAUACCGCAUACCAUCAGUUGGGCCCAGAUGGGAUUGGCUAGUAGGUGGGGUAAUGGAUGACAUAGGAGACGAUCCCUAGCUGGUCUGAGAGGAUGACCAGCAAAACUGGAACUGAGACACAGUCAAGCCUCCUACGGGUGGCAGCAGUGGGGAAUAUUGGACAAGUGGCACAAGCCUGAUGCAGACCUGCCGCGUGUGUGAAGAAGGCCUUCGGGUUGUAAAGCAAUUUCAGCGAGGAGGCGUUACUCGCAGAAGAAGCACCGGCUAACUCCGUGCCAGCCGCCGCGGUAAUAC